GAUGAACGCUGACAGAAUGCUUAACACAUGCAAGUCAACUUGAAUUUGGGUUUUUAACUUAGGUUUGGGUGGCGGACGGGUGAGUAACGCGUAAAGAACUUGCCUCACAGCUAGGGACAACAUUUGGAAACGAAUGCUAAUACCUAAUAUUAUGAUAAUAGGGCAUCCUAUAAUUAUGAAAGCUAUAAGCGCUGUGAGAGAGCUUUGCGUCCCAUUAGCUAGUUGGAGAGGUAACGGCUCACCAAGGCGAUGAUGGGUAGCCGGCCUAAGAGGGUGAUCGGCCACAAGGGGACUGAGACACGGCCCUUACUCCUACGGGAGGCAGCAGUGGGGAAUAUUGGACAAUGGACCGAGAGUCUGAUCCAGCAAUUCUGUGUGCACGAUGAAGUUUUUCGGAAUGUAAAGUGCUUUCAGUUGGGAAGAAACAAAUGACGGUACCAACAGAAGAAGUGACGGCUAAAUACGUG
rnacentral:rRNA from 1 species